AGAGUUUGAUCCUGGCUCAGGAUGAACGCUGGCGGCGUGCCUAACACAUGCAAGUCGAACGAAGCACUGAGACUUCGGUUUUUGUGCUUAGUGGCGGACGGGUGAGUAACGCGUGAGCAAUCUGCCUUUCAGAGGGGGAUAACGAUUGGAAACGAUCGCUAAUACCGCAUAACGUAUUCGGAUGGCAUCAUCUGAAUACCAAAGGAGCAAUCCGCUGAAAGAUGAGCUCGCGUCUGAUUAGAUAGUUGGUGAGGUAACGGCCCACCAAGUCGACGAUCAGUAGCCGGACUGAGAGGUUGAACGGCCACAUUGGGACUGAGACACGGCCCAGACUCCUACGGGAGGCAGCAGUGGGGAAUAUUGCACAAUGGGGGAAACCCUGAUGCAGCGACGCCGCGUGGAGGAAGAAGGUCUUCGGAUUGUAAACUCCUGUUGUUGAGGAAGAUAAUGACGGUACUCAACAAGGAAGUGACGGCUAACUACGUGCCAGCAGCCGCGGUAAAACGUAGGUCACAAGCGUUGUCCGGAAUUACUGGGUGUAAAGGGAGCGCAGGCGGGAAGACAAGUUGGAAGUGAAAUCCAUGGGCUCAACCCAUGAACUGCUUUCAAAACUGUUUUUCUUGAGUAGUGCAGAGGUAGGCGGAAUUCCCGGUGUAGCGGUGGAAUGCGUAGAUAUCGGGAGGAACACCAGUGGCGAAGGCGGCCUACUGGGCACCAACUGACGCUGAGGCUCGAAAGUGUGGGUAGCAAACAGGAUUAGAUACCCUGGUAGUCCACACCGUAAACGAUGAUUACUAGGUGUUGGAGGAUUGACCCCUUCAGUGCCGCAGUUAACACAAUAAGUAAUCCACCUGGGGAGUACGACCGCAAGGUUGAAACUCAAAGGAAUUGACGGGGGCCCGCACAAGCAGUGGAGUAUGUGGUUUAAUUCGACGCAACGCGAAGAACCUUACCAAGUCUUGACAUCCCUUGACGAUGCUGGAAACAGUAUUUCUCUUCGGAGCAAGGAGACAGGUGGUGCAUGGUUGUCGUCAGCUCGUGUCGUGAGAUGUUGGGUUAAGU
rnacentral:rRNA from 1 species